UGAAGCCGUGCUCUUGUCGCUUGAGGGGUCAGAGAUGAGCCUUGGAUUGAAGCUUUUUCCGUCAUCUUCUACGGAGAACAGGUAUCUCUGUUGAAGCUUGGGAUGCUUAGAUGCCUGCAAUUACUGCUGAUGGUCACAAUUCAUUAUGGGAGAUCCAUACUUGUGGCCUUGUCAAUGGACAGCAUGGAUGGAUGGGAUGAGCGAAAUGUUUUCUUGUUUCUUUAACUCUGCUUAGUUUAGCUUCUACCAAUCAUGUAGUCAAUUAUUAGAUUUUUUUUCUUUUAAUCCAUUGUCACUACUUGUGGGACCUUGGAGAUGAAGAUUAGCUCCAUGUUGGUUCUUUAGCCUUCUCAUGGUCAACUGUAAGCUUUUUGUCAACUCAAUGUCGGUUGGUGAAGGAUUUGGUUAUGAUGAUUAUGAUGAGAAAAGAUUUACCUCAAACUUUGUAAACUGCAAACUACUGAUAUUUACUUAUCAUCUGUUUUCUUUGUAUUAAAA